AGGGCCGGAAAGUUCUCCAAACUCGGUCAUUUAGAGGAAGUAAAAGUCGUAACAAGGUCUCCGUUGGUGAACCAGCGGAGGGAUCAUU
rnacentral:rRNA from 1 species